UUAAGUUAGAAAGGGCGCACGGUGGAUGCCUUGGCACUAGGAGCCGAUGAAGGACGGGACGAACACCGAUAUGCUUCGGGGAGCUGUAAGCAAGCUUUGAUCCGGAGAUUUCCGAAUGGGGAAACCCACCACUCGUAAUGGAGUGGUAUCCAUAUCUGAAUACAUAGGAUAUGAGAAGGCAGACCCGGGGAACUGAAACAUCUAAGUACCCGGAGGAAGAGAAAGCAAAUGCGAUUCCCUGAGUAGCGGCGAGCGAAACGGGAUCAGCCCAAACCAAGAGGCUUGCCUCUUGGGGUUGUAGGACACUCUGUACGGAGUUACAAAGGAACGAGGUAGAUGAAGAGGUCUGGAAAGGCCCGCCAUAGGAGGUAACAGCCCUGUAGUCAAAACUUCGUUCUCUCCUGAGUGGAUCCUGAGUACGGCGGAACACGUGAAAUUCCGUCGGAAUCCGGGAGGACCAUCUCCCAAGGCUAAAUACUCCCUAGUGACCGAUAGUGAACCAGUACCGUGAGGGAAAGGUGAAAAGCACCCCGGAAGGGGAGUGAAAGAGAUCCUGAAACCGUGUGCCUACAAGUAGUCAGAGCCCGUUAACGGGUGAUGGCGUGCCUUUUGUAGAAUGAACCGGCGAGUUACGAUCCCGUGCAAGGUUAAGCAGAAGAUGCGGAGCCGCAGCGAAAGCGAGUCUGAAUAGGGCGAAUUGAGUACGUGGUCGUAGACCCGAAACCAGGUGAUCUACCCAUGUCCAGGGUGAAGUUCAGGUAACACUGAAUGGAGGCCCGAACCCACGCACGUUGAAAAGUGCGGGGAUGAGGUGUGGGUAGGGGUGAAAUGCCAAUCGAACCUGGAGAUAGCUGGUUCUCUCCGAAAUAGCUUUAGGGCUAGCCUCAAGGUAAGAGUCUCGGAGGUAGAGCACUGAUUGGACUAGGGGCCCCUACCGGGUUACCGAAUUCAGUCAAACUCCGAAUGCCGAUGACUUAUCCUUGGGAGUCAGACUGCGAGUGAUAAGAUCCGUAGUCGAAAGGGAAACAGCCCAGACCGCCAGCUAAGGUCCCAAAGUAUACGUUAAGUGGAAAAGGAUGUGGAGUUGCUUAGACAACCAGGAUGUUGGCUUAGAAGCAGCCACCAUUUAAAGAGUGCGUAAUAGCUCACUGGUCGAGUGACUCUGCGCCGAAAAUGUACCGGGGCUAAACGUAUCACCGAAGCUGCGGACUGUUCUUCGAACAGUGGUAGGAGAGCGUUCUAAGGGCUGUGAAGCAAGACCGGAAGGACUUGUGGAGCGCUUAGAAGUGAGAAUGCCGGUAUGAGUAGCGAAAGAGGGGUGAGAAUCCCCUCCACCGAAUGCCUAAGGUUUCCUGAGGAAGGCUCGUCCGCUCAGGGUUAGUCGGGACCUAAGCCGAGGCCGAAAGGCGUAGGCGAUGGAUAACAGGUUGAUAUUCCUGUACCACCUCCUCACCAUUUGAGCAAUGGGGGGACGCAGGAGGAUAGGGUAAGCGCGGUAUUGGAUAUCCGCGUCCAAGCAGUUAGGCUGGGAAAUAGGAAAAUCCGUUUCCCGUGAAGGCUGAGCUGUGAUGGCGAGCGAAUUAUAGUAGCGAAGUUCCUGAUUCCACACUGCCAAGAAAAGCCUCUAGCGAGGUGAGAGGUGCCCGUACCGCAAACCGACACAGGUAGGCGAGGAGAGAAUCCUAAGGUGAUCGAGAGAACUCUCGUUAAGGAACUCGGCAAAAUGACCCCGUAACUUCGGGAGAAGGGGUGCUCUGUUAGGGUGCAAGCCCGAGAGAGCCGCAGUGAAUAGGCCCAGGCGACUGUUUAGCAAAAACACAGGUCUCUGCGAAGCCGUAAGGCGAAGUAUAGGGGCUGACGCCUGCCCGGUGCUGGAAGGUUAAGAGGAGCGCUUAGCGUAAGCGAAGGUGCGAAUUGAAGCCCCAGUAAACGGCGGCCGUAACUAUAACGGUCCUAAGGUAGCGAAAUUCCUUGUCGGGUAAGUUCCGACCCGCACGAAAGGCGCAACGAUCUGGGCACUGUCUCAACGAGAGACUCGGUGAAAUUAUAGUACCUGUGAAGAUGCAGGUUACCCGCGACAGGACGGAAAGACCCCGUGGAGCUUUACUGCAGCCUGAUAUUGAAUGUUGGUACAGCUUGUACAGGAUAGGUAGGAGCCUUGGAAACCGGAGCGCCAGCUUCGGUGGAGGCAUCGGUGGGAUACUACCCUGGCUGUAUUGACCUUCUAACCCGCCGCCCUUAUCGGGCGGGGAGACAGUGUCAGGUGGGCAGUUUGACUGGGGCGGUCGCCUCCUAAAAGGUAACGGAGGCGCCCAAAGGUUCCCUCAGAAUGGUUGGAAAUCAUUCGCAGAGUGUAAAGGCACAAGGGAGCUUGACUGCGAGACCUACAAGUCGAGCAGGGACGAAAGUCGGGCUUAGUGAUCCGGUGGUUCCGCAUGGAAGGGCCAUCGCUCAACGGAUAAAAGCUACCCCGGGGAUAACAGGCUUAUCUCCCCCAAGAGUCCACAUCGACGGGGAGGUUUGGCACCUCGAUGUCGGCUCAUCGCAUCCUGGGGCUGUAGUCGGUCCCAAGGGUUGGGCUGUUCGCCCAUUAAAGCGGUACGCGAGCUGGGUUCAGAACGUCGUGAGACAGUUCGGUCCCUAUCCGUCGCGGGCGCAGGAAAUUUGAGAGGAGCUGUCCUUAGUACGAGAGGACCGGGAUGGACGCACCGCUGGUGUACCAGUUGUUCUGCCAAGGGCAUCGCUGGGUAGCUAUGUGCGGACGGGAUAAGUGCUGAAAGCAUCUAAGCAUGAAGCCCCCCUCAAGAUGAGAUUUCCCAUUCCGCAAGGAAGUAAGAUCCCUGAAAGAUGAUCAGGUUGAUAGGUCUGAGGUGGAAGUGUGGCGACACAUGGAGCUGACAGAUACUAAUCGAUCGAGGACUUAACCAA
rnacentral:rRNA from 1 species